GGGGCAGACACACGUAACGACUAGUUUUUAGUCUAUUUUUUAUGCAUUUAAUACACAUUAGACAUACUCCAAUGGCUCUUAACCGAUUCUAUGAUACUCUCAAAACUUAAUGAAGACUAUAAAUACUUUUUAGAGGUAAAAAAUUAAAACAACAAGAAGUAUUCAAGCUCAAAUUCGUGAAAGAGAAAGAAAAUCCUAGAA
rnacentral:lncRNA from 1 species